GAUUAACGCUGGCGGCGUGCCUAACACAUGCAAGUCGAGCGGCAGCGAGUUUUACACUGAAUUCUGGAAGCUUCUAGUUGAAAGAGAAGAUUUAUUCAAGAAUUUUGUGUAAAAUGUCGGCGAGCGGCGGACGGCUGAGUAACGCGUGGGAACGUACCCCAAAGUGAGGGAUAACGCAUCGAAAGGUGUGCUAAUACCGCAUAUGGUCUUCGGAUUAAAGCCUUCGGGCGCUUUGGGAACGGCCUGCGUAAGAUUAGAUAGUUGGUGGGGUAAUGGCCUACCAAGUCGACGAUCUUUAACGGGUUGGAGAGGAGGAUAAGUAAGACUGGAAAUGGGCCACGGUCCAGACCCCUCGGGGAGGCAGCAGUGAGGAAUUUCCCAAAAGGGGCGAAAGCCGGAGGGAGCAACGCCGGGUGAAGGAUGAAGGCCUUGGGGUGGAAAACUGCUUUUAAAAGUGAGGAUUAUGACAGUAAUUAAGAAAUAAGGAUCGGCUAACUACGG
rnacentral:rRNA from 1 species